GCCCCAGUAGCUCAGGGGAUAGAGCAACGGUUUCCUAAACCGCAGGUCGCAGGUUCGAUUCCUGCCUGGGGCACCA
rnacentral:tRNA from 1 species